rnacentral:rRNA from 1 species
UACGGAGGUUCCGAGCGUUGUUCGGAUUUACUGGGCGUAAAGGGAGCGCAGGCGGACAGGUCAGUCUGAAGUGGAAUCCCGGGGCUCAACCUCGGACGUGCUUUGGAUACUGCCUGUCCUGAGUUCGUGAGAGGAAAGCGGAAUUCAGGGUGUAGCGGUGAAAUGCUUAGAUAUCCUGAGGAACACCAAUGGCGAAAGCAGCUUUCUGGCACGUGACUGACGCUGAGGCUCGAAAGCGUGGGGAGCGAACGGGAUUAGGUACCCCGGUAGUCCACGCCGUAAACGUUGUGCACUAGGUGUGGGAGGUAUCGACCCCUCCCGUGCCGCAGUUAACGCAUUAAGUGCACCGCCUGGGGAGUACGGUCGCAAGACUGAA